rnacentral:rRNA from 1 species
GUACACUCCUACGGGAGGCAGCAGUGGGGAAUCUUGCGCAAUGGGCGAAAGCCUGACGCAGCCAUGCCGCGUGAAUGAUGAAGGUCUUAGGAUUGUAAAAUUCUUUCACCGGGGACGAUAAUGACGGUACCCGGAGAAGAAGCCCCGGCUAACUUCGUGCCAGCAGCCGCGGUAAUACGAAGGGGGCUAGCGUUGCUCGGAAUGACUGGGCGUAAAGGGAGCGUAGGCGGACAUUUAAGUCAGGGGUGAAAUCCCGGGGCUCAACCUCGGAAUUGCCUUUGAUACUGGGUGUCUUGAGUAUGAGAGAGGUGUGUGGAACUCCGGGUGUAGAGGUGAAAUUCGUAGAUAUUCGGAAGAACACCAGUGGCGAAGGCGACACACUGGCUCAUUACUGACGCUGAGGCUCGAAAGCGUGGGGAGCAAACAGGAUUAGAUACCCGGGUAGUCCCA